rnacentral:rRNA from 1 species
GAUGAACGCUGGCGGCGUGCCUAAUACAUGCCAGUCGAGCGAACGGACGAGAAGCUUGCUUCUCUGAUGUUAGCGGCGGACGGGUGAGUAACACGUGGAUAACCUACCUAUAAGACUGGGAUAAUUUCGGGACACCGGAGCUAACACCGGAUGAUAUUUUGAACCGCAUGGUUCAAAAGUGAAAGACGGCCUUGCUGUCACUUCUAGAUGGUUCCGCGCUGCAUUAGCUAGUUGGUAGGGUAACGGCUUACCAAGGCAACGAUGCAUAACCGACCUUGGAGGGGGAUCGGCCACAGUGAAACUGAGAGACGGUCCAGGCACCUAGGGAAGGCAGCGGUAGGGAAUCGUGCGCAAUGGGCGAAAGCCUGACGAAGCAACGCCGGGUGGGUGAUGAAGGGCUUCGGAUCGUAAAACUCUGUUAUUAGGGAAGAACAUAUGUGUAAGUAACGGUGCACAUCUUGACGGUACCUAAUCAGAAAGCCACGGCUAACUACGG